rnacentral:misc_RNA from 1 species
CCAAAUCUAUGGCCGAAAGGCCUUGCCCUAGGUGGGGAAACCCACCGACGGUAAACCCUUUGUGAAAACCCUCCUGUUUGCCUCGGCGGCACCCUUUCAUUAGGGGUCAGCCCGCCGACGGCACCCAACCAAAACUCUUUUUUAGAAUUGAAGCUAGUCUGAAUCAAUGGUCGAAUGACUAUA